CGAACCGCGAGGCCCGGGGAGACCCCACCCAUCGCUGAGUCCCGACAACCGGCUUUGAAGUCGCUGCUGUGGCUCGGCUCCUCCCCCGUCCGGCCCCGAGCUGCGCGGAGCCCCCGAGUCCAGGCGGUGCCCCCGCUUCGUCGCUAAGCGCUUAUUGCGGCGGCUCAUUGGACCACGUCGGUGGGGCGAUCGCAGCCUCUGAUCCGUGAGCUGCAAAGAGCUCGGAGGUUCAUUCACAAAUCCGCAACCCGGGCCUUCCCUCUACUCCCCGGAGCCGAGUCCCAGGGCCGGCGCGCCUGGGGUGUUGGGCUAGGGGAGGAAGUCCCGCUCCUGCCGCUCCCUCCGACUCCCGCCACCCGCGGGACUUGGGGGAAGGGAGAGCAAGCUUUCGCUCCGGAAGAAAUGUUCGGAGGCCAGGAGUCCGCCUCCUGGAUCCGGGCGCCGGUCGGAUCCGGGCUCCGACGCCCGGGCCCUCCUGUCAGCAAAGGUCCCGACAGGGCGCGAGGCCCCCCAUCCCUAGGAGACAGGAGCUCGGCCAGGGCGCAUCUACCGGGUCCUGCUCCGAGCCAGAGUACGCGAGUGUAAACACCCACUCUCACCCCGCCCCUCCACAGAGCUCCCUCCCUCCUCCUUGGGGUAUGGCUGGGCACAGGGCAGGUCACUAGGAAUCCCCCGUAAAACCGUGCUCGCCCAGAGGUUCUCUGCUCCCUCCGAAGGCGCCGAGGGGAGAGAAGGGACCUGAUUUCCUUGACCUUCGGAGGAAAAGUGCUGGGGUCCCCUAGGGAUCCAGCCCUGGAAGCUCCCCACAUCUUAGCUCAGGCGGCGGCAAGGUGGGAAGGAGAGUUUGGAGAUGGGGAGCGGGGCUGUGUCCCCUGCAGAGACCUCUAAUUUUGGAGGAAAAAGACUGGGGCAUACCCUAGUGAGCCAAGGCCUGCGCACCUCCACCCACCCCAGGCAUCCCACAGCCAGCUCCUGCCGGGCGUGGGCACUCGAACAUGGGAGCGUGCGGAAGGAAAAUCCAGCUGGGGCCUCCCUCACCGACACAACUGCCCCGCGGUCCAGCCUCGGGAUUUCCGGGAGAUGUGGGGAGCUCGGGACCGGCUCCCGCUCCACAGAACAGACGGGACUGCCGCAGGAACAGUUUCUGCAGAAAGGAGAAACUCCGGGCAGAAGGGCUCUCAGCCUGCAGUCAGCUCAGCCUCGGCUCGUGGGAGACGCUAACCACUCUGCAGAUCUUGAUCCGCAAUCGUUUCUGGCAGCUGACUGCGGAGAGUGCCCUCGUAGCGAGAUUUCCAACCCAAGGAACCCUGGGCUCCACAUUCCGUCUUCAAACCUGAACUUUCAGGGCUGCUUUGUAUGAGGUGCAACUGAGCUUGUGUCUGCAAACAAGACAGAAAACCCUAAGUGCCGCCCAACCUUCCUCGUUUGGGGAGCCCGUGCUUUGCCCUCGGAACGCGCCCCCACCAAACUUUCUGGUCGGGCUGGCGGAGCUCAGAGUCCCCCUUCCUUCUAGGCGCGGCCCCCUAACAUCUGUAACCCAAAGGUUGCUCCUCAGCCAAAAUUAGCCCUGUCAGGGCGAAUGGAGAACUGAAAGCAGGCAGUGAAUUAGAACAGCCCGCAUUUCUCAUUCCUGGUAGAUGGGGAGGUGUAAAUCCCGAGGAAUUCAAGAGCAUCCGCUCCGUAUCCGGGAAGUCUCCGCGCGCGUCUAGUUUCUUUCUCAGCCUGUGUUAAUGCUCCAAAUGGUGUCGAAUUGCCCAACGUUGCCGUCCUCACAGAGGCUGUUGUGUCUUAGGGGAUUAACUGAUUUGAGACACACAAAACCCUGCGACUCCGUAACAUAAACUGCAACACACAGCCUUUCUGGAAGGGACUGGAAUAUUUCAGUGAGUUUCCUACAGGAAAGAGGAACAUUUUAGGGGAGAAAAAGAGCACUUCUAUAAUGUGCCUUAACUGAGAAAUCCUGGUCUACUGAGCUUUUCUUUAAGUGGAGCCAGAAGUACUGGGAUGAGAGGAAAAGGAAGGGAGUGGGUCCAGAGCUCCACAGCAGGUCCCCAUCCCUGGUGGGAAUGAGACUGGACGGCUGCCCUGGGAAGGGCGGUUGGGGCCUUGGACAAGGCUAGAGGCAGGAGUCCAUGAGGCAGGGGUGGCACAGUGCCCCUCCGCGUGUGAGUCCACGAAGGUCACUAUGAGACUUUGUGCUUGUAAAAGGUCGCCACGCUUCACACGAGCUUCUAUGCUCAACACAGGGGUUGACUGGGUACAGGGACCCCCCAUACCAAAC
rnacentral:lncRNA from 13 species